GAUGAACGCUAGCGGCAGGCUUAACACAUGCAAGUCGAGGGGUAUAGGUUUUCGGACCUAGAGACCGGCGCACGGGUGCGUAACGCGUAUGCAAUCUACCUUUCACAGAGGGAUAGCCCAGAGAAAUUUGGAUUAAUACCUCAUAGUAUAGCAGUUUCGCAUGAAACCACUAUUAAAGUUCCAACGGUGCAAGAUGAGCAUGCGUCCCAUUAGCUGGAUGGUAAGGUAACGGCUUACCAUGGCAACGAUGGGUAGGGGUCCUGAGAGGGAGAUCCCCCACACUGGUACUGAGACACGGACCAGACUCCUACGGGAGGCAGCAGUGAGGAAUAUUGGUCAAUGGACGCAAGUCUGAACCAGCCAUGCCGCGUGCAGGAUGACGGUCCUAUGGAUUGUAAACUGCUUUUGUACGAGAAGAAACACUCCUUCGUGAAGGAGCUUGACGGUAUCGUAAGAAUAAGGAUCGGCUAACUCCGUGCCAGCCGCCGCUGUAAUAC
rnacentral:rRNA from 1 species